rnacentral:lncRNA from 1 species
UGUGGACACAACAAAAUCAAAAUGUAAAGCAGACACAGAUAACUUCAAGCGAUUCACACAGUCCAUAACAAUGAAGGAAUGGGUUGCCCCCGAAUCAAAGAGUGCAGUUAGAGUGUUACCUGCAAUCUCACAGUCACGCUGAAUCAGAUUACCGGGUGGAUUCCCCUCUUCAGCACUCACACAAUAAAUGCGUCCUCUAGCAGUAGGACGGGUAGCCCUAGCUACAUUCACCACUGGUUCCACCUUUGGAGCCUUACAAUCCCUUGCCAUGUGCC